UUCAUGCAUGCAUUUUCUAUCAAAUAAGAUUAGCUAAAAUUUAAUCAGAGAUAACUGUAGAAAUUCUGGGCCAAAUUCUUCUCAGCUAAAUUAACAUUUGAUAAGGUAAAAAUAUCAUAAAGGUAUAAGCAAACUUGGCCCAAGCCAUUCAUUUUUUUUUAAUAUUCCUCCAUUCAAAUGUCUUCCAGUUUGCAUGGCCAGAAACAACUUCUGCAGAGGCAGUGUGGAGGACCCUAGCAAUGGCUUGACUCAUUUUGUUUUGUUUACCUGUGUCUAAUUCCUAUGAAUCUGAUAAUUCUUCGUAAACACUAAUGGAGCUUAGUUGUAUAUCUAAUGGGUAAAUAUUUAAUUUAAAUUACUCCAUGGUGAACGUUAUAAGUUUCAAACCACGAUAAUAUUAAAACUGGAGGAAUUGGGGAGAUUCUGAAGUGUCUGUUUUACUAUCACAGCCAGAACACUGUAGGCUGAUCUGUUCCUUCUCUGGGUGCUAGGGCAAAGAGAGCAGAUGAGAUCUUGAACGUUUGGGCCCCUAAGUGUUUGGCUCAAUGGAUUUUUACUUUUUUUUUCUAUUAUUUUUUGUUAAACUUACAUAGGCCUUAGUUAUAGUUGCCUUUCGGUUGUAGCACACAAUUAAGAUGCAAAAAGCUGAGUGCUAGAGAGUGCAGAGCACUCUUACUUGACUUCAGCUUGGAGUCAAGUGGAGAUUUAAUGUCUUAAGAGUGGAGGAGGUGCCAGAGUACUAGCUUUCCAAGAAAUCUGAAAAAGAGUGCACAGUCUCCAUCGUAAGGCUGGGAAAGUAAUCAGGUCUCUGGAUUAGAUAUGUUACUUAUCCUCCUUUAGAACGAAAAGCUGUAAAGAAACUGCUCAGAAUUUGAACAGCUUUCAUAAAGCAUCCCUGACAUUUUUAAGCAAUCUCAGAUCUUUGGAUGAAGAGUCAUGAUAGUAAAUGUUAUUUCUGGAAGGCUGAAACAUACACACUGCAUUCUCUCUGUCAGACAACAAAAUGCAAAAGGGUGUUGACUAUGAGAAGUCAGCCUAACAGGACUAAUUUAAGGGUGCAUACAGCAGUACCACCUCACAGCAGCACUUUCACCCAGCCUGAAGCAGCAGCCAGCUCCUGGGUGCAUGUUUUGUUUCCCUUCAGUGCACGAGUUGCUCACUGUCCUCUAUCAGGUGCUGGUGUUUUGGUGCUCAGCUGUUGCUGUGCCCCCCUAAGGAAGAGAAAGCCACAGGAAGGCAUUGUUUACUGCUUCCCCAGGCUUCCAAGAAGCCUCCAGUUAACUGGAAGGUGCGACCUGCUGGGCUGGGAGGAGGAGGAGGUUGAUCCGUGGACAGAGCAUUGCCUGGCCAAAGGAGAGCGGAAGCCGAAGCUUCCUUGCAUUUUCUUACACUGAAAAGAGAACUUAUGUGAAAAACAAGGCAUGUGUGAGCUGGCAGAGGAGAGUCUGACCACUGGCCUUGGAAGCAUAAACCCCCUUGGGCUUCAGCCUGGUCCCCACUGCUAGCCACCUUUAUAACUUCAGCAGAGGUUAGCAAACAGCAGACAAUUCAAUUCUGGUAUCUAUAACCACUGACCUCACUUGUAGAAAGAAAGUAAUAAUGCAAUUUGGACUCCUGAGAAUAUGACUAUCCUGCCUUGCAUGUGCUGUGAUUAGUAAUGUAAAAUGAAUGCAUGAUUCUGAUAUUAACUGUUGAUUAAUGUUUCCUGGAGAAAUAAUGUGGCUGUUAUCUAGAGGAUGACAAAGAUAUCUUCUUUUUGAUGACACAUUAAAGAAAGAAUAUUACCAGCCAUUUAAUGUCUUAAGAGGGAAUCUUGAGAGGGUACUGAUUUUGACUUCUGGCCAGCCCUGAGAUGAAUGCAUUUACAUGACAGUCUCUGUUUUGACACUGGAUGUGAUAUCUUGUCCUGGCUAGGAGGUGUCACAGGUUUGGUGAGAUUGUGUGAAGGAUCCAAACCAUUCCAGCCAAAACCAGCCUGGCCUGUGUUUUGGGAUGCUGCUGUUGACAUGGUGCGAUGGGGGCUCAAUUCACUAUUCUGCCAUGUGUUUGCCUGUCAGACUGGACAAGCCUGUGUAGCUGUCCUGGUUUUGUUAAAAACAAGUUUCUCUUUUAAUGAAUUUGCCUGUCAGCUAAAGCUUUCAUAUUAGCUGCAUUUUCCUGGAAAACCAGAUACAUGUUUUGGUAAACAUGGCAAUGGAAUGCAAAGUUAUUGAUAAGCAUGGAUGCACCUCUCACGAGAGGGGCAACGAGAAACAGGUGACCAAGAAACUGAUUAACGGAGUACAACAUCCCAUUCACAUGAAUAUUUCAUAUAAAAGUGGGAGAUCACAAGGAUCUCGUCCCUUUUACUUAUGGCUGACAUUAGAAGAGGACCUUGUGAGUCGUCCCUGCAAACUGAAGCCUAGUGACAGACUGAAUCCAGCUCCAGUUGGCUGCAGAGUCCAAUCCAGGACUUCGGGUGCCAGCUCUGCAGUUGCUGGGACUUUCAAGAUUGGUUUUGCAUAUUUUGUAUUAUUUUCUCUAUUCUUAUUAGUAGCAUUAGUAAAACAUUUUUAAUUUUUCCAACUCUUUUCUCUCUGUCCUUCUUUUUCUCAAGAUCACCUGUCCUUAGUGGGAAGGGGGGACAGCGUGGGGCUGAAGGGGGAAGGGAGGGGAGCGGGGAUUAACAAUACAUCUGCCACGGUUUUAUUGUCACCCUGCAAUCAAAACCUCAACAGUAGCCUGAGCCUCCAUUCCUUUUUUGUGAACAAGCUGAUCUCAUUUUCUUAGGAAAUCUUAUUUUCUCUUUAACUACAAAAACAAUACUUGGGCACUUUGAAAAAGAGGAUCAGUUACCCCCAAGAAGCAUCCUCAUUUCAACAGCUACAAGUUUAUGUAAAAUACUUCAAUUCCCCAUGGCACAAAAGUUGCUGUGGGAUUGUAUUCCUCUUCUUGCUAUCCACUGAGCCAAGCA